rnacentral:lncRNA from 1 species
AGUAUCAGGGUUGUAGGAUAGGGGCCCCUAGAGUUUUUCGUACCCCUCACCCGAGGUUGGGUGAGGCUUGACAGGGCUAUCCUUAGAUAAUUUGUGUAUUGGAUUGUGUCUCCCUUAUGGUAGUUAUUUAUGGUAGUUGCUGUCUGAUAUUAUUGCAUGCUAUUUUAUUUAUGGUUCUUAUGUUUAGAUAAUUAUUUACGCUAUUUCUG